rnacentral:rRNA from 1 species
GAUGAAUGCUGGCGGCGUGCCUAACACAUGCAAGUCGAGCGGCAGCGAGUGUUACACUUACUUCUGGGAGCUUCAGAGUAGGACAGAAUAUUUAUUCAAGAGUCUUGUGUAAAAUGGCGGCGAGCGUCGGACGACUGAUUAACGCGUAGGAUUUUACCCCUAAGUACGAGAUAACUGCCUGAAAGAUGCGCUAGUGCCGCACAUAGUCGUCCGAUUAAAGCCUUCGGGCGCUUGGGGAGAAGCCGGCGUUGGAGUAGGUGGUUGGUAGGGUAAUGGCCCACCAAGCCGACGAUCCAUAGCUGGUCUGAGAGGAUGAUCAGACAGACUGGGACUGAGACACGGUCCAGACUCCUACGGGAGGCAGCAGUGAGGAAUCUUCCACAAUGGGCGAAAGCAUGAUGGAGCCACGCCGCGUGAAGGAUGAAGUCCUUCGGGUUGUAAACUUCUUUUAUGAGUGAAGAAUAUGACGGUAACUCAUGAAUAAGCACCGGCUAACUACGUG